rnacentral:lncRNA from 1 species
CCGCCGCACGGCUUUCGCCGCCGUGGCCGCACCGCGGAAGGGGAGCGGGGGGUCCGGGCGCAGCGGUGCCGGGGGGCACGCGUGGGCACGGCUCCGCGGCCCGGAGGGGCCGUCCGCCGCGUCCGGACCCACAGCCGGCUGCUGGGACCGCAGCCCCGCACGUCGCAGCGGCAGCUGUCGGGAACGCUGAUUGCGCGUUAGUUACUGCACGCGCCGUCCCGGCUCUCGUCGUACCGGGAACGCUUCGGCUUCUCUUUGGGGGCCCCGCCGCGGGGUGCCGUGCCUCCGCCGCCGGGCACGGAGGGAGAGAUGCGCGGUCCUGCGGCCGGGCUUCCUCCCUCGGGUCACUUCAACGCUGACCCGCGCGCCGGCUUAUGGUGCCAAAGGUCAGCCUGGAGCUCUUCCACCGACGUGUUUUAGAGAUUAGGAAAUAAUGUGAGAAUAGGAGUGGAUUUUAACCCCGGUGACUUAUGAGCCGUACCGAGGGAGCCUGCUAAACACAUCAUGUGGCACAUAGAUAUGUAGGGGAGGAGAAACGCAGACGGAGAACUGCAGGAUGUGAAGAGGGGUUAAGAAGACACGGCACUACGGAUUGCUGGUCAGAAACACACUAACACUGGCAGUGCAGGGGCUGUGGGAAAACCUGAGAGAAGCUGUCAGCGUUGAGAUGCUCAUGAGAAAUUACCACAUUUAUUAAUAGUAGCAACCCGAGGUUCCCAUUCGCCUCACUGCUUUGUGCCUCCAGUAAGUGACUGCCAACCAGACCACAUCUUUUCCCAUCUCUGUUUUUAACCUCCCCCAGGAGCAGGCACAGCACAGCAGCGCUGGCACUCCCCAAGACAGUCCGUCUCUCCCACUACAUGUUCAAGGAAAGCAGAAAACCCAGCUCAUGGUCCGCAGCAAUAAAGGGAAUGAUGUGAACCGCCUCUCAUCCCUCCAAGCCUUCCACCGUAGAUCCAGUCCCACAGCUGCCUGGUUUUGUUGCUCUCGGAGGGUGCUGCAAUUGGCUCUGAUGGUCGCAGUUUCCACCUUUGUGUCUUAACUAAUCUUUUAGCCAUGCUGGGUCAUGCUAUCAAACGCCUUGAAGAUCAGAAGUGACGCUGUGGUUUGGCCUCCUGGCCCAAGAGGCAGAGGGUGGGUUUGAUGCCUUUGUGGUGGUCAGGGCUCCCACUGCAGUGCGCUUGUCCAGCUGGCAUUUGCCAAGUGCUGUGGGCUUCAUGCCCAGGUGUAUCACAUAGCUGUAGCCUCGCCAAGAGGUGACAAAGAUAUGACUAACUGAGGUUAGGUUGCUCCUGCCAAAAGGCAUGGCUGCUUGUGGCCAAACAGAGAACAUGGAAAACACUGGGAGUUUCACGUCACUGGGGAGUGCUCCUAAGACAUGGGCUAUGUAGAACAGCCGGGAAGAUGUUUCAGCUCAAGAAGGCUGCUCUGCAGCUUCAGUACUGUGUUCUGUAUGAUUGCCAGAGAAGGGUUUGAUUGUUCUUGAGUGUCUCAGUUCAGCUCUGCUGCUCCAGCUGUAGGUCCUGGCCUGAGAGCACAUUGUACCGGAUGCAGAACAUCAGUUUCCAUUUGGAGAGCCUUCAGCUGGCUGUGAGCUGGUCCCUACCUGAGCUUCCUCUGGAAAGGGGCAGCUGCUGGGAAUGACUGUGACAUUUGUUUUGGAUGCUCAUCUCUGAGGAGAGUGUCUGCAAGCAGUUCCUAGCCAUGGUGACUGCUUCUGCCUUCUGAGUCAAACCCCUUCCUGAUGAGACUUCAGGAAUCUGAAGGAUUUGCAUGUGUUUUGCAGUUCUGAUCUUGAGUUUCACUGUCCUGUGCUGUGUGUAAGAACAGUGCCUUGGGAAUAAAGCAACAUGGGCCUUUCCCAUCUCUUGAUCCUUUGCCUGCACCCCCUCAGUGCAGGGUGGUGCUGGACUACCCAAGGGCUGGAUGACACAGUGCUUGGUGCGUGCAUGUGAACUUGCUGCUCCCAGACAGCAUGGGGCUGUGCUGUAUUGUUUUCUCUCCAGACAAUGCAGCACUGGAUUGUAAGUAAAAAUGCAGAGCACACUGCAAUGUUUGCUCUUUAUUAAUGCACUAAGAUGCAUUUGGGUGAAGCAGAAGGCUCCUGGCUGGCUUGGUUUCAAGCUCCGUGACAGGCUUCCAUAAACACUUUGCCACAGACAGCCCCUUUGUUGAGAGGGGAGCUGGUGAGCAAGUGAGCGAUCCUGGGAGCUUCCCAAUGGCCGGUGGGCACUACAGGGCACUUCAGCUGCAGCUGCUGCUGCUGCGGGGCAGGAGGAAAGGAGAGUGCAUGAGCAGAGACACCCUGCUCUGCCAGCCUUUGCUUGCUGGCCUGGUAGCUUUUGUAGUCUCUCUGCACUGGGUAUCUGGCCACCUGUUUUUUAGCUGAGCAACUUGAGCUAAAAGCUGCCGGCUAUGACACAGUACCUCUGUUGCCAGAACACGCAGUUUCUUGUUCCACUUUUGAGGAAUGUAUGUGGCCGCUUACAGCAAUUACAGCUUAACCUUCCAGCUCUGAACUCUGCCUAGUAUCAGGGAAAUACCAGCUGGAGCAAAUAUCUUGACCUCUGGAUGACACAGCUGGGAGAUAACUGCGGUCUCAGCCUCAGAUGCUCUGAUUCUUGGUCACGCAGCACUUGGGCAGGCCCUCCUGCAGGCCGAGAAGGAUGGGGUGUCCAUCCCCAGAGCAUCCCUGCCAACACGGGCCGUGCUCUGAGGAGGGAGGUGACAGCGUCAGGCUGUAUGUUAUGGUGGAGAUAGGGCCCACCUCACGGCUGGGUUGGGCUGGUUCUUGUUGCACGUUUAGGUUUUUGUCUAAGGCACUUCACUGCUUUAGCCAAGCUGCAGCGGAUGAAGUUGUAAGUCUGACAGCGGACGAGUGCGGUUUGACCCUUCUGCUCUCUUUCACCUUCAGUUUGCGCUUUCCUACACGUACAGCAUUAAGGUUUGG